UUAUGAAUUCUGUUUUCUGGAUCGAUUCUUCUUUAAUUUUUCUAGGCAAAAUUCUUUCGAUAUCCAUUUCUUCAUUUCUUUCCCACUCGCCUUCGAGUUUUCAAGAAGAUUGGAUCGAUUUUCGGUGACAUAUCCAAGAUUCUGAGCUCGAACUCGCAGGUACUAAUGGAGUCUGGUUUCUGGAUUGAUUCUUCUUUUACUUUUUCUUGGAAUAGAUUUGCGAAAUUCUUCCGAUAUUCAUUUCUUCGGUUUUUUUUACCACUCGUCUUCGAAUUUUCAAGAAGCUUGGAUUGAUUUUCGGUGACAUAUCCAAUAUUCUGAGCUCGAACUCGCAGAGCUGAAAUUCGCAUUCAAGGUUAGAUCUGUCUUGAAGCGACAUCGCAGAACAGCAAAAAGAUCAAGGCGCAUAUCAUUGUCCAAGGAUGACGGAACAUCACUGGAGGGAUGAAAUUAAAUCCCUUUUGGGGUCUCAUGUUGCUUCUGAAAAAACUGAACAGCUUGAAGAGAC